UACGUAGGGACCAAGCGCUGUUCGGAUUUACUGGGCGUAAAGGGCGCGUAGGCGGCGUGUUAAGUCAGCUGUGAAAUCUCCAAGCUUAACUUGGAACGGUCAGCUGAUACUGAUGUGCUAGAGUGCAGAAGGGGCAACCGGAAUUCUUGGUGUAGCGGUGAAAUGCGUAGAUAUCAAGAGGAACACCGGUGGCGAAGGCGGUUCUCUGGGCAUUACCCGACGCUGAGGAGCGAAAGUGUGGGGAGCGAACAGG
rnacentral:rRNA from 1 species